UUCAGUUCAAAAAAUUAGUAUAUAAUUUUGUAAGUUCAUUUUUUUAAUUCAGUUUACCUUUUAUGUAAUUUAUAAAAACAUUAUUAAAAUAUAUCACUAAAAAAAAUUAGUAACUAAUUAGAUCAAUUACUAAUCCAUUAAAAUCAGUUGCUAAUUAAUUUAACAACCGAUUUAGCAAUUGAUUUAGUCGAUUGCAAUAAGACUGAUUGCUUGCCACCACCCGAUUCUACGGGCCGGAUCAACACUAGGUAUUGGGUCAACUUAAAAACCCCGAAGACUGUAGUAAGCUUUACUGUUCACUAACCCAUAACCACACCCAAAGUCAAGGCUCAACACGCACAAAAAGGAAAUAAAAUAAUAUAAAUACUAUAAAUUUAUUUGGCUAAACUCAACCCGAUAACUAUUAGAAAAACAAAAUUAAAAGAGCCCAGCUCAGCCCUUUUAUCCAUCAUGCACAAACCACUUAAUUUCCAUUAAUUAAUAUAAUACAUAUAUACACUGAUGUCAUAACAGAGUUCUAAUAAUUUAACAAAUAGAUAAAUAAAUAAAUAAGCACAAUAAAAACUACUAACUAAGAAUCACUACAACUUGCGAGAAAAAAUAUAGGUCAAACUCGAAAAUAAACAUGCUCCUCCUGCGACGAAAAAAAAAAUUCAAACAGGAAUAAGCGUUUAACUCAGAGAGUUUAAAUACUGAUUAUAGAUGCAAAAUAUUGAUUAUAGAUGCAAUUUCUAUAACUACCUAAAACUAGUACAAUUCUACUAUGAAAUACAUAUCCAUCAUAUAAUCAAUGUAUAAAUAUGAGAGUUGAUCUCACAUACAGCUCUCUCGAUCCAAAUUACUUUAACGAGCUCAACUAAAGCUGAACUUUCACGAUCUUAGUUAGUAUCAAAAUUGAAGGUGAAAUUAGACAAAUUGAAGGUGCUACUAAACUUUUUUAAUAAAGGUCAGGAGUUGAUUUAAGUAUUCGACAUUCUUAAAUUUAUUAAAUUAUGAAAGUUUAAGGGUGAGAUGGGAUGUUUUUAAAGUUAAGAGUUAUUAUUGCAUAAGCUGUAAGUGCAUGGAUCAUACCGUAGUAUAAAAAGAUUUCAUUCUCAUGAGGAUCGUAAUUGAUUAUCAAAUUAUGAUUCAAUAGAUUAUUUAGACUUUCGAAUGUUGACUAAGGUUAAUAAAAGAACCAUUAAAAAUAAAAUAAUUGUAAAUAUAAUUAAAUAUGGCAUAUUUAAUUAAACAUAAUCUAAUUAAUAAAAAGAUGAUUUCAGAGUUGGAGGUUUACACUUCUAUUAAUCUAGUUUUGAUCCAAUUAAUACAAUGAAUGGAUAAUUAUAUAUUUGAAUGAGACUAAUUCUAAACUCUCUUAGAUUCUUUUUCAAGAUAUAAAUGAUGUGUUCUAAUCAAACCAACUCCUACUUUUGUAGCUCUUUAUUUUAAUUAAAACCCAUUAAGAUCUUCAGUUAAUC
rnacentral:misc_RNA from 1 species